UGGCGCAUGCGCAUGGGGCUAGUCCCGAAUGACAACUGCACCACAUAACGGACAAACAGUCGGCACAGGAGCCGAUGCUAACGCAGAAAGACUUAAGUCUCAGGUUAAGAACUCGUCUUACUCGGAGAACGUUAUGAGGUAGAUAGUUAAAAUUUGAAAUAAACCAGCUUUGGAUGGAACAGACAGGCGCUGCCACCGUGAAAAUGGACCAGGAGUUUGAAGACAUGGACUCCAAAGGCCGGUGGCAGAAGCUUUACUCAGAAAUCAGGAAUCAAUCCCACGAGUGCUCUUACAAAGUGGCAAAGUAUCCAGAAAAUCGCAACCGAAACAGAUACAGAGAUGUCAGUCCAUUUGAUCACAGUCGGGUCAAGCUGGAGAAUGCAGAAAACGACUACAUCAACGCCAGUCUGGUGGUGAUGGAAGACGCCCAAAGAAGUUACAUUUUAACACAGGGCCCCCUCAAGAACACUUGCGGCCACUUUUGGCUCAUGAUCUGGGAGCAGAAGACGAAGGCGGUCAUCAUGCUCAACAGGGUCAUAGAGAAAGGAUCAGAAAAGUGUGCCCAGUACUGGCCGACGGCAGAGGAGAGAGAGAUGGCCUUCAGAGACACGCGCUUUAUGGUCACACUGUUGUCAGAAGACACCAAGUCUUACUACACCACCAGAGUAUUGCAGCUGCAGAAUAUUAAUACGGGCGAGAAGAGAGAGAUCCAUCACUUUCACUACACCACGUGGCCUGAUUUCGGUGUCCCUGAAUCCCCGGCAUCCUUCCUGAACUUCCUCUUUAAAGUGCGGGAAUCUGGAGCGUUAGGGUUGGACCACGGACCGGCAGUGGUGCACUGCAGUGCUGGAAUUGGACGCUCGGGGACAUUCUCAUUAGUAGACACAUGCCUUGUUCUUAUGGACAAACGGAAAGAUCCGUUGUCAGUGGACAUCAAGAACAUCCUUUUAAAGAUGAGGAAGUACCGCAUGGGUCUGAUCCAGACUCCCGAACAGCUGCGCUUCUCCUACAUGGCUGUCCUUGAAGGAGCAAAGUUCAUCAUGGGCGACUCUUCUGUGCAGAACCAAUGGCGUGUGUUGUCUGAGGAAGAUCAGGAGCCGUCCUCAGAGUCUCCGCCCUCCUCCGAGCCUCAGGCCCGGUGUCCACCGGAGCGACACAAUGGGACCCAGAGAGGAGGUCAGCAGGAGGAGGCAGAGGACUACAGACAGGACAGCAGAGUUCCUACUCAGUCUUCCUGCAAGGAACAGGAGCUGGAUGGCAGCACAACACACAAACGACGCAGAGAAGAUAACAUGUCCAAAUCUGUCAACACCAAAACACCCCAAGGCAAGUCCAGGUCAACCGACUCGGACAGGAAGAGGAAAAGUUUGGGGUGUAUUUGCUGCACAUGACGAGACAUUUCCUGUCCGGUGGGGGGCAGCCUGUCUUUACUCCCCUCCGAGACAGAAACGACCACGAGGAGAACGUUUAGAGGAGGAACUUUAUCCACAGCUUGUGAAAACGAUCAGCCACUUUUGUACCUGGAGGAUGAAAACCAGCGACUGCUAACCAGCUCCACCUGAGUUCGGCUCCGGCAGCGAAGCCAGCCUCGGCAGGGAACUCCAGCUCUCCACCCCGCUAUCCAAACCUCCGUGCUCUUCCUCCUCUUCUUUUUUUUACGUUCGUCAUGGUUUUAGUCCGGCCAAGUCCCAUGUUUUCAGCAACACUCGCCUCAUAACUCUUCAUGUCUUUAGCUUCAGCGUUUUCCCCCAAAUCCUCUCUGAAAUGUUUACAGCAGACACUUUGACAUUCACACAGGAGCUUUAAACCCCCUCCUCAGACCUCACCUCCGCGUUUUGCUUUUAUUGUUUUCCUCUCAUUCUGACCUCUCUUAUAAGACUGAACAGUAGGGGGGGUACGCAUUGCCAAUUUGUAAUGCUGUUCAUAUGUGUAUUUUUAGAAAAAAAAAAAAAGAAAAUUUUUUCAGAGGCGAACCCAAGAGGUACUAUUUUUUAUAAAAAAUCUACUUGAAGUUUUUAAAGGUGACGUGGGGUUUGGGAUAAGACAAGCACUGCCUCCUCCCCCAAGUAAUAGUGGCAUGAUAUUUCAAUGAUGUACAUAGUGCUCUGUUGGUUUUUUAAAGAUGUGUAUUAAAGAUAUUUUUGCUUGUAAAGAGAAAAAUAAAGAGCUUAUGUUACAGAUCUUAAUGCUGCAGAAAACUCAUGACUUGUUCUCCUUUUGAAAUUAAGUUGUCUUAAGUUUAUUUAGAGUGUAAGCUCAAAAUAAAACUGGUAUUUUGUUUACCUACA